AUACUCACUUCGGAGGCACAUACACUAAAACUGACAUGAUACAGAGAAUAUUAUCACGGCCCCUGCACAAGGAUGACAUGCAAAUUUGUGAAGCAUUUCAUAUUUUA